UUGAAAGGGAAACGAUUGAAGUCAGUCAUACCAACGGGAAAUCAACCUUUUGAGCUUGGUCUCGUGGGUUUUGAAGAGUUUCAAAGCCUUCGGAUUCGCGGGAUUGGGAUCUCUUGGUGUACUUUUUCGUACGGUUAGUCAACAUCGGUUUUGAAUGUCAUAAAAUGACUGGAGGAAUGUAGCUUCGAUCUCGUAUUGAAGUGUUAUAGCCUUUGGUAGAUGUGAUGUUUGAGACCGAGGAUUGCAACGGAUACCCUUCAGGGCUACCUGUCUGAUCUCUGAUCGUUGCUCUGGUGCCGAAAGCUUGCUUACGGUUAUCAAAGUCGAUGGUCAAUAGGUUAGAAUGGGUUAAAUUCGUUAAGGAUGUUGACGUA
rnacentral:rRNA from 1 species